CGGGCCAACGAGUUACGUUAAGUAGCAAGGUUAAGCACUUAAGGUGUGGAGCCGUAGCGAAAGCGAGUUUUAACUGAGCGUUCAGUUACUUGACGUAGACCCGAACCCGGGCGACCUACCCAUGAGCAGGAUGAAGCGAAAGUAAAAUUUCGUGGAGGUCCGAACCCACGAGCGUUGAAAAGCUCGGGGAUGACUUGUGGG
rnacentral:rRNA from 1 species